rnacentral:rRNA from 1 species
CAAUAGCGUAUAUUAAAGUUGUUGCAGUUAAAAAGCUCGUAGUUGGAUUUGUGGUGUGUGGCGAGCUCCGGGCACUUGUUGUCUGAGCAGUUCGCCGCUGCCAUCCUUGGGUGGAACCUGUGUGGCAUUAGGUUGUCGUGCAGGGGAUGCCCAUCGUUUACUGUGAAAAAUUAGAGUGUUCAAAGCAGGCUUAUGCCGUUGAAUAUAUUAGCAUGGAAUAAUGAGAUAGGACUUUUUCGCUAUUUUGUUGGUUUGCGCGAAGAGGUAAUGAUUAAUAGGGACAGUUGGGGGUAUUCGUAUUCCAUUGUCAGAGGUGAAAUUCUUGGAUUUUUGGAAGACGAACUACUGCGAAAGCAUUUACCAAGGAUGUUUUCAUUAAUCAAGAACGAAAGUUAGGGGAUCGAAGACGAUUAGAUACCAU